UCAGUGCAUAACAGAACUUUGUC
rnacentral:miRNA from 1 species